rnacentral:rRNA from 1 species
AACGAACGCUGGCGGCAGGCUUAACACAUGCAAGUCGAACGCCCCGCAAGGGGAGUGGCAGACGGGUGAGUAACGCGUGGGAAUCUACCCAGAUCUUCGGAACAACUGAGGGAAACUUCAGCUAAUACCGGAUACGCCCUACGGGGGAAAGAUUUAUCGGUUCUGGAUGAGCCCGCGUUGGAUUAGCUAGUUGGUGGGGUAAUGGCCUACCAAGGCGACGAUCCAUAGCUGGUCUGAGAGGAUGAUCAGCCACACUGGGACUGAGACACGGCCCAGACUCCUACGGGAGGCAGCAGUGGGGAAUAUCGGACAAUGGGCGAAAGCCUGAUCCAGCCAUGCCGCGUGAGUGAUGAAGGCCUUAGGGUUGUAAAGCUCUUUCAGUGGGGAAGAUAAUGACGGUACCCACAGAAGAAGCCCCGGCUAACUUCGUGCCAGCAGCCGCGGUAACAC